CGCAGCAGCACAACACAGCAGCUCCCUGGCCAGUUGUCCCCUCAGCCUCCGUAAGCCACAGCCUUGGCACAGCAAAGCAGAGGUCUCAGUAGCAGGGUGAAAGAAGUUGCCCUAUCUCACAACCAUUUCUGAGGCAAUAUUUUUACCCUCCAUUCCUUUUUUGAUUCACCUCAAAAGCUGGACAGUAACACCCUACCCCUGUACCACUUCUGCCAUGGAAGGACACAAUCCCAGAGCCCAAGCAGCAGCUCUCUAUAACCUCCCCCUGCUCCACAGGACAAGUUCUGCUCUCUACUCACGGGUUUCCCAGGGAGGCAAUGUCUCACCUGGCAACUUUCCUUGGCACCCCAGACCAUUUCCUUCCAGAAGGAGGCAUGGAAGUUGGGAAAGCCCAGCAGCUUCCAGCAGCUUUGUCCCAACAGGCCCAGAAACAUGCUCUGCUUGCAGAGUAACCAACUGACACAUCUGGUAUCAGGCACAAUUUUUGCUGAAGAAGGGCUCUUCUGUCCCUAUUUUCGGCACCGCCUCAGAGCGAUAAACAAUCAACAGCGGCGGCGAAAGCUGCCCGGGCACAAACUUCUCCCGGGGGCCACGAGCCGCCCCCCGGCCGGGGGAAGCUCGGGGGAAGCGUCCCCCGCCCCGCGGCCGAGCCCCCCGCCCCACCUCGCCGCCCACUCGGCCGGGCUGCGCAAAGGCUCCCCGAGUUUUCCUGCCGGGCUGCGGGGAGGGGGAGGUCAGACCGACACAAACAAGUCCCCUGCCCGCCAUGCCCGCGGCCCCGGAGACAGGCCGAGCACGGAGGGGUGCCCGCCUGCCCCAGCCCUCCGGGAGGGGACGGACGCGGUCCCGCCGCUCUGCCCGGCCACCCCGCGCCCCCUCGUCGCUCCCCGGCACCGACCUGGGACACAAAGGAGCGGCCGCUGCUGCCCGCCGAUCGCCCGUGCUCCCCGCGGAGUCCAGGCCGCGGCAGCACCGGGAUGGCGUAGCGCAGGCAUCCGACGCCAGCGCCUGCUGCUCCCGCGACGGCCCGUGCCGCCGGCGCCCGCUCUGCGCUGGGCGGGGAGGGGAGGGGGGACGCUGGGAGCCGGCCGAGCGCCGCUUCCUGCUGCCCGGCGCCGAGGGGCGAGGGGUGCCGGAGCUGCCGCCGGGGGUGCUGCGCCGGCGGCUAAGCAGAGGCCGCUGGUAGCGGCCGCAUCCUCAGCGCCCGCGCCGGGCUUUCCGUGCCUCCUCAGUCCGGCUCCGAGGAGUCUCCGGUGCGGCUCCCUUGGCGGCCGCUGCUGGCAGGGGGAGCCCCGCUGUCCCCGCGAUGCGCCCGGCCCGCGCUCGUGCUCCCCCUGCCGCCCCGCCGGGCCGGGCCGCGGCUCGGGCCCCUCCCGCGGCUCCGCGGGGCUGGCUUGGGGCAGCCCCGAAGGGCCGGGAGACCCCCGGAGCGGGAGCGACGCGAGCUUAGCCCUCGCUGCUUUCCAGCCGCGGCCCGCUCCCCAGAGACCCCUUCGUGGCGCACGCCGUGGGGCGGGGCAGGCCUGCCCUCUGCCGCGGCCGCCAGAGCUGCCUUCCCGGUGCCCGCUGUCCGGCCUGGGCACGGAGCAGGGAGCAGCCCGCGGGGAAAAGGCUCCCGGGGUGGUGGGGGGCAGCGGCGGGGCCGGCCGGGCUGCGGGGCACCUGCCAGGGGUGCAGCGCUGGAGGGUGACCAUAGGAGUAUGCAAUCUGCAAGGCAGUCAUAGAGCAACCGCCAUCUACAUUAAUAAUAAUUAUAAUAACUGAAGAUGAAAUAGGAUGUGACCUGCAGCAAGAAAAAUGUGAGUGACAUAGAGAAAGUUUCCAUGGGAACAACAUAAAAAAUUCUAAAAUAUCUCUGUGUUCAGUGAGAAAAAUUUGGUCAGACAUAAGUUUGUCUCACAGCAGAGUGCCUU
rnacentral:lncRNA from 1 species